rnacentral:rRNA from 1 species
GACGAACGCUGGCGGCGUGCCUAACACAUGCAAGUGGAGCGACGAACCAGGGCUUGCCCUGGGGCCAAGCCGCGAACGGGUGAGUAACACGUGGGUAACCUGCCCCGAUGACCGGGACAACCCGAGGAAACUCGGGCUAAUACCGGAUGUGGUGGACACACUUAAGUGUGUCCACUAGAGGAAGCUUCGGCCUCCGCAUUGGGAUGGGCCCGCGGCCCAUUAGCUAGUUGGUGGGGUAAAGGCCUACCAAGGCAACGAUGGGUAGCUGGUCUGAGAGGACGAUCAGCCACACUGGGACUGAGACACGGCCCAGACUCCUACGGGAGGCAGCAGUGGGGAAUCUUGCGCAAUGCGCGAAAGCGUGACGCAGCAACGCCGCGUGAGGGAAGACGGCCU